AGGCCACACUCAACCCUGGUGCAUCCAUGUACAACUGUUUACUUCAGCUCUGAUUCAGCUCCACUGAUCUUGUCCAAGAGAAAUUGAUCAAUGUGAUGCAUUUUUAAGGCAUUAAUGAUUCAGCAUUUGCCUUUCAAGUUUCUACUAACUGAACUUGUCAGCUUGCAGUUCUGCAUCAUCAGGAGAUAUGGAUCAGAGUUUAAGUUGAUGUCAGACUUGCCUAAGAAGAAUUGCUGUCUGUCUAUCCAGG